rnacentral:rRNA from 1 species
GACGAACGCUGGCGGCGUGCUUAACACAUGCAAGUCGAACGGAAAGGCCCUGCUUUUGUGGGGUGCUCGAGUGGCGAACGGGUGAGUAACACGUGAGUAACCUGCCCUUGACUUUGGGAUAACUUCAGGAAGCUGGGGCUAAUACCGGAUAGGAGCUCCUGCUGCAUGGUGGGGGUUGGAAAGUUUCGGCGGUUGGGGAUGGACUCGCGGCUUAUCAGCUUGUUGGUGGGGUAGUGGCUUACCAAGGCUUUGACGGGUAGCCGGCCUGAGAGGGUGACCGGCCACAUUGGGACUGAGAUACGGCCCAGACUCCUACGGGAGGCAGCAGUGGGGAAUAUUGCACAAUGGGCGGAAGCCUGAUGCAGCAACGCCGCGUGCGGGAUGACGGCCUUCGGGUUGUAAACCGCUUUCGCCUGUGACGAGGCGUGAGUGACGGUAAUGGGUAAAGAAGCACCGGCUAACUACGUG